rnacentral:rRNA from 1 species
UACGUAGGGGGCAAGCGUUGUCCGGAUUUAUUGGGCGUAAAGAGCGUGUAGGCGGCCACACAGGUCUGCUGUGAAAACUCGAGGCUCAACCUCGAGCUGUCGGUGGAAACCGUGUGGCUAGAGUCCGGAAGAGGGUAGUGGAAUUCCCGGUGUAGCGGUGAAAUGCGUAGAUAUCGGGAGGAACAUCAGUGGCGAAGGCGGCUACCUGGCCCAAUACUGACACUCAGGUGCGACAGCGUGGGGAGCAAACAGG